rnacentral:rRNA from 1 species
ACCAGACUCCUACGGGAGGCAGCAGUGGGGAAUAUUGCACAAUGGGGGGAACCCUGAUGCAGCGACGCCGCGUGAGUGAAGAAGUAUUUCGGUAUGUAAAGCCCUAUCGGCAGGGAAGAAAUUGGACGGUACCUGACUAAGAAGCCCUGGCUAACUACGUGCCAGCAGCCGCGGUAAUACGUAGGGGGCAAGCGUUAUCCGGAUUCACUGGGUGGAAAGGGAGCGUAGACGGCCAUGCAAGCCUGGAGUGAAAGCCCGGGGCCCAACCCCGGGACUGCUCUGGGAACUGUGCGGCUGGAGUGCGGGAGGGGCAGGCGGAAUUCCUGGUGUAGCGGUGAAAUGCGUAGAUAUCAGGAGGAACACCGGCGGCGAAGGCGGCCUGCUGGACCGCGACUGACGUUGAGGCUCGAAAGCGUGGGGAGCAAACAGGAUUAGAUACCCUGGUAGA